UUGACCUCAAAUCAGGUAGGACUACCCGCUGAACUUAAGCAUAUCAAUAAGCGGAGGAAAAGAAACUAACAAGGAUUCCCCUAGUAACUGCGAGUGAAGCGGGAAAAGCUCAAAUUUAAAAUCUGGCGGUCUUGCGGCCGUCCGAGUUGUAAUCUGGAGAAGCGUUUAUCCGCGUCGGACCGUGUACAAGUCUUCUGGAAGGGAGCGUCGUAGAGGGUGAGAAUCCCGUCUUUGACACGGACAACCGGUGCUUUUGUGAUGCGCUCUCGAAGAGUCGAGUUGUUUGGGAAUGCAGCUCAAAAUGGGUGGUAAAUUCCAUCU
rnacentral:rRNA from 1 species